rnacentral:rRNA from 1 species
GACGAACGCUGGCGGCGUGCUUAACACAUGCAAGUCGAACGGAGAUAAUAGUAAUAUUAUCUUAGUGGCGGACGGGUGAGUAACGCGUGGGCAACUUGCCUCGGACUGGGGGAUAACACAGGGAAACUUGUGCUAAUACCGCAUAACAUCAUGAGAGGACAUCCUCUUAUGAUCAAAGGAGUAAUCCGGUUUGAGAUGGGCCCGCGUCCGAUUAGCUAGUUGGUAGUGUAAUGGACUACCAAGGCGACGAUCGGUAGCCGAACUGAGAGGUUGAUCGGCCACAUUGGGACUGAGACACGGCCCAGACUCCUACGGGAGGCAGCAGUGGGGAAUAUUGCACAAUGGGGGAAACCCUGAUGCAGCAACGCCGCGUGAAGGAUGAAGGUUUUCGGAUUGUAAACUUCUUUGAUUGGGGACGAAUAAUGACGGUACCCAAAAAACAAGCCACGGCUAACUACGUGCCAGCCGCCGCGGUAAGAC